rnacentral:lncRNA from 1 species
AUGCUUCAUAUGUGUAUGAGAAUCACGAGAUGUCUUGAGUUGUUUUUGGUAAAGGAUGCUCGGUGCAUAGAGCAAGAAGUUACUUUGGUUGUAUUUGGAUGAGGUUGUAUUCUGCAGUGUCUGAAGUGCUAAGGAGGCACAAGUUGUUCAGUUAUUGAUUGGGCUAAUUGCGGUUUGAGUAGAGUGAAUGACUCUCGAUAAUG